UCAGCUGACUGCAUACAGAGAGGUGCG
rnacentral:piRNA from 1 species